rnacentral:sRNA from 1 species
GUUUGCACUUAUCGGGGAAGGGUGAGAACCUUCGAUUAAGGUUCGACUCGAGCGAAAGCGAGAGAACGUUGCCAACGGCAACGGCCCGUA